UGCAUAUUGAUCAGAUGCUUCAGUGCUCUGAGAGUGUUUAUAGUGCUGUGAGUUUAACACUUCAUCACUGACACACACAACAAUCUUCAUCAACAUGACCUUCAUCAUCAUCUUCAUCUGGACUCUUUCAUACUGCUUUAUACUACAAGGGUGUAAAGCUCAGAUCACAGUCACUCAGACUCCAGUGAAACCUGUCACACCAGGAGAAAAUGUAGAGAUGAGCUGUAAGUUUAGUUCUGCUCCAGACUCUUUGUCCUGGUACUUACAGAAACCUGGAGAAGCUCCUAAACUCCUGAUUUACUGGGCAAGCAGACUCCAGUCAGGAACUCCAUCUAGAUUCAGUGGCAGUGGAUCUAACAGAGAUUUCACUCUGACCAUCAGUGGAGUCCAGACUGAAGAUGCUGGACAUUAUUACUGUAAGCCUGGACAUGUAUUAGACAGCAGAAAUGUCCGGACUUUCGGCAGCGGCACCAAACUGGAUGUUGGCAGCGUCACUCGUCCUAAAGUGAGCGUCCUGCCGCCCUCCAGUGCAGAGAUCUCCUCAAAGAAGACAGCGACACUGGUGUGUGUGGCCAGCAAGGGCUUCCCGUCAGACUGGAGCCUGAGCUGGAAGGUGGACGGGAGCAGCAGGUCUCAGGAGAGCAGCGCUGGGCUCCUGGAGAAGGACGGUCUGUACAGCUGGAGCAGCAGCCUGACUCUCUCUGAGCAGGAGUGGAUGGAGAGCGUCUCAGUGAGCUGUGAGGCCACACGGAGCGGUCAGCCUGCGCUCACUGGACACGUGACGAGACAGCAGUGUUCAGAGUAGAUCUGCUGCUCUUCUCACUCAUGUCUCACAUGGAGACUAACAGCACAUGAGCGACUCCUUCAUUCUCCACAUCCAGCUUCAGUCGCUCGCAUCUGCAUCUGC